rnacentral:rRNA from 1 species
CGGCGAGUGAAGCGGGAAGAGCUCAGACUGAAAAUCCCUCGGGAGUUGUAGUCUGUAGGUAUAACACUGCAUCGGACGUGUGUGCAAGUCCAGCACGAGCGCGGCGCCAGAGAGGGUGAGAGCCCCGUACCGCACACGAAUGAGUCACAGUGUAAUGCCGACGAGUCGGGAUGCUUGGGAAUGCAUUCCAAAGUGGGUGGUAUGUCCCAUCUAAAGCUAAAUACGGGCGAGAGACCGAUAGCGAACAAGUACUGUGAAGGAAAGAUGAAAAGCACUUUGAAAAGAAGGUUAAAAGAGCUUGAAAUUGCUGAAAGGGAAGUGAUUGGUACCAGUACGUCCUCCGAUGUGCGUGCACUAGGCUGGACGGUCAGCAUCAGUUGAGACUGCGGGAAAGCGCCGGAAGAAGGUGACCACCUCUUGGUGGUGUUAAGCUUCAGGUUCGCGCCGUGGUCCCGGCUGAGGGAAGCGCGCUGCUUACGUACCUACGCGUAGCGCGAAGAUGCUGACGAAAUGGUAUCCAUCAGCCCGUCUUGAAACACGGACCAAGGAGUCUAACAUGUGUGCAAGUACUCCGGUGGAAAACCGCUGUGCGCAAUGAAAGUACUCAGAUGGGACCUUUUGGGCACCAUCGACCGGUUUGAGGGCUACGGUUCUCGGGCUGCGUCAGAGCAGAUAUGUUGGGACCCGAAAGAUGGUGAACUAUGCCUGGGUAGGGCGAAGCCAGGGGAAACCCUGGUGGAGGCUCGAAGCGAUUCUGACGUGCAAAUCGAUCGUCAAAUCUGGGUAUAGGGGCGAAAGACUAAUCGAACCAUCUAGUAGCUGGUUCCCUCCGAAAUUUCCCUUAGGAUAGCUGCAACUCAAUCCAGUUUUAUCAGGUAAAGCGAAUGAUUAGAGGACUCGGGAGCGGAAUGCUCUUGACCUAUUCUCAAACUUUAAAUGGGUAAGAAGCGGUGCCUUACUUAGUUGAAGGCACUGCGCGAAUGGAAGUUGUUAGUGGGCCUCAGUAGGUAAGCUACUGCGGCGAUGCGGGAUGAACCGAACGUGAUGUUAAAGCGCCGGACUGUCCGCUCAUCAGAUCCCACAAAAGGUGUUGGUCCAUAUAGACAGCAGGACGGUGGCCAUGGAAGUUGGAAUCCGCUAAGGAGUGUGUAACAACUCACCUGCCGAAUGGAUUAGCCCUGAAAAUGGAUGGCGCUGUAGCGGGCGGCUUAUACAUCACCAGCGAGCUUGGAUGGAUGGCUCGUUGAGUAGGAGGGCGUGGUGCUCGCGGAGAAGGAUUGGGCGUGAGCCUGUCUCGAGCGGGCACUAGUGCAGAUCUUGGUGGUAGUAGCAAAUAUUCAAAUGAGAACUUUGAAGGCCGAAGUGGAGAAAGGUUUGGUGGGAACAGCAGUUGGCCAUCAGUGAGCCGCUCCUAAGAUAUAGGGUAAUGCCGAUCGGAUUGGGGUGUUUCGUGCACCCCGCUAUCGAAAGGGAACCAGGUUUAUAUUCCUGGGCCGCGGUGAAGUCAGGUGGCAACACGCACGAGCUAGGUAACGUCGGAGGGAGCCCCGAGGAGAGAUCUCUUUUCUUGUUAACAGACUAUUUCCCUGGAAUCGGUUCGCCCGGAGAUAGGGGUUCAUGUCUGGAAUAGCUGCGACGCGUAGUCGCGGUUCGGUGCGCUCUCGACGGCCCUUGAAACACCUAGCGAGGUACAUUCGUGUCAGACUUACUCGUGGGCGUACUCAUAACCGCAUCAGGUCUCCAAGGUUAGCAGCCUCUGGUCAAUAG